GUUGGGGUGGCCGAGUGGUUAAGGCGUUGGACUAGAAAUCCAAUGGGAUCUUCCCGCGCAGGCCCGAAUCCUGCCCGCAACG
rfam:Nematostella vectensis strain CH2 x CH6 NEMVEscaffold_452_Cont27648, whole genome shotgun sequence.